rnacentral:tRNA from 1 species
GGUUCCUUAGCUCAGUUGGUUAGAGCAGCUGACUCUUAAUCAGCGGGUCCUCGGUUCGAGUCCGAGAGGAACCACCA